GCAUAUAGCCUACUUUGACUGAAUUAUGCAAAGUUGGCUCAUCUACUAUUUGGAUGGGAGACCACUGGGAAAUCCCAGAGCUGUAAACU
rnacentral:rRNA from 1 species